CUAAAAUGCUCAGGAAUGGAGACUCUUGAUGUUCAUCCCAUGUAUAAAGGGUCCACAUUGAGAUGGGAGAAUGCUUGAGCAAGAAAUCUGUGCUUCCAGUGUCUGUAACCCCAGAGAGUGGGAGUAUCAAGUCUGAAAGUUCAGAGUCAGACACUAAACUGGACCAUGAACUAUUGAAAGACUCCCUGGACGUCGGACAGACAGCGUUUGCUUUGGCCCAUCUCGAGUCCUUGGAGAUUUGCCUAAAGGAAGCAGAAGAAAAGGCUAAAGCUUUAUCCAAACAGCUUGCAGUUUCGGAAGGAACAAAAUUGAAAUUGCUUGAACAAAUUUCCUGGCUGGAGGAAAAAAUAAAGACUCUGGACCAAAGCGAAACCAGUGGCAAAUCAUAUGAAAAAACAAUUCAAUUGAAAGACCAGUGCAUCGAAAAACUGCAAGCUGAGGUCAGAGCUUCCCAGGAGCUUCUUUCAGCCCAUAAACUGAAGCACAAAAAGAAAAUGGAAAAGCUGCGAACUGAUUUGGCAACAGCCAAACAAGAGGCCGCCAUCACGGCGCUGGAGUUCUCAGAGAAGAUGAAGAGGCUGCACGAAGAAAGACCCUCCCCCAAAGACGACUCUCUGGAAAAGCACUGUGGGAACCUCCCGCCUGUGGAAGAAGGAGACAGAAAAGUCAGCCUCAUUAUGGAGCUGUCCGGCCUGGUCUCCCUUCAUGCGGACAGGAUCAGUCAUCUGGAGGACAUCUUGGAGGAAAAAGACAGGAAGAUUCAGCAGCUGGAAGCAGGGCAGGCCGCGCUCCCUCCCUCCUGAGAGCUGCAAGAGCCUCCAGAGUGGACAAGAAGCCCCGGUGUUUUCUCAUGAUGGCACCACUGUUGUGAUCUCUAAUGAGGAUUACCACCCCAAAGAGACCGCACUGGAGAAGAGUACGUUUUAACCAAUGAACUGGAAAAGCUUCCCUGUGCUGUCCUCUCCAGAUGAGGAAACCAGGACAUAUGGAGAGCUUGUCCCAGGCCACAUGGUGAGCUGGUGCCCAGCUGGAAUUCCAUCCCUUGCCUACCUGUAAAAACAGCACUGAUUCCUGCUAUCUCCCCCCACUAAAACUUCCAGAACACGUUGGAGGAUCCCUAGACAUCUUGUCUGCUUUGCCUGAACUAACAG